UAGGGAAUCUUCGGCAAUGGGGGCAACCCUGACCGAGCAACGCCGCGUGAGUGAAGAAGGUUUUCGGAUCGUAAAGCUCUGUUGUAAGUCAAGAACGGGUGUGAGAGCGGAAAGUUCACACUGUGACGGUAGCUUACCAGAAAGGGACGGCUAACUACGUGCCAGCAGCCGCGGUAAUACGUAGGUCCCGAGCGUUGUCCGGAUUUAUUGGGCGUAAAGCGAGCGCAGGCGGUUUGAUAAGUCUGAAGUUAAAGGCUGUGGCUCAACCAUAGUUCGCUUUGGAAACUGUCAAACUUGAGUGCAGAAGGGGAGAGUGGAAUUCCAUGUGUAGCGGUGAAAUGCGUAGAUAUAUGGAGGAACACCGGUGGCGAAAGCGGCUCUCUGGUCUGUAACUGACGCUGAGGCUCGAAAGCGUGGGGAGCGAACAGG
rnacentral:rRNA from 1 species